rnacentral:rRNA from 1 species
GACGAACCGUGCGAACGUUGUUCGGAUUCACUGGGCUUAAAGGGCGCGUAGGCGGCUCGCCAAGUCGGGGGUGAAAUCUUUCGGCUCAACCGGAAAACAGCUUCCGAUACUGGCGGGCUUGAGGGAGGUAGGGGCGGACGGAACUUCCGGUGGAGCGGUGAAAUGCGUAGAUAUCGGAAGGAACGCCGGUGGCGAAAGCGGUCCGCUGGAUCUCUUCUGACGCUGAGGCGCGAAAGCCAGGGGAGCAAACGGG